UUACAGCACUUUCUCCCCCACCUUUCGUGAAAGAUAAAAAGUCGAGCGUAAGCAGCGCAGCAUUCUUUGUAGCCCAAUGCCUGGCUUACGUCUCAAUCGAUUACUGCGAAACUAGAUUGACCACAUCUUCAUGCAACAAAGAUUACAAAAUGUUCGACACUUGCAAAAAUUACCUCUACCCAGGCUUGGCAAAUAAUGAAGGGUCAAAGCUGAAAGCAGCAGUAAAGAA